AGCCUCUUGGUCCUCACCACGGGCUGUGUUCUUACACUGACUGCACAGAAAGAGGAAGCAGAGUAAAUCCACCCAUAUACACCCCAGCCCAGGUGCUCUGCCUGGUCUAGGUUGUGAAUGGGGGGGACAUGU
ensembl:snoRNA